CAAGCCGGUGGUGAUACGCGUUUGAAGGGAGUGCUUUGAAGGUGAUGUUGGUCUCAUUCUGGAUGGCGAUCAAGCAUGAAUCCAAGAACCGAACACAUCGUUGUGAAGCUUCCGGUUUAGCAAACUUUGUUGUAGACAAUGUUCCUUUUGUAAACACUUAACUUCUCGUUUUCGAUGUCUAAACUAGUUAGUUAGUUAACUAGAAUACUAUUACUAUGCAACUUACCGUUUGUCUAACUUAAUGAAAUGAUGCAUUUGAA